UCCCUUGUGGCUCAGCUGGUAAAGAAUCUGCCUGCAGUGCGGAAGACCUGGGUUCAAUCCCUGGUUUGGGAA
rfam:TPA: Bos taurus chromosome 21, whole genome shotgun sequence.